UUUCAACUAGCUCAGUUGGUAGAGCAUCAGGCUCUUAAUCUGAGGGUCCAGGAUUCAAGCCCCUGGAUGGGCA
rnacentral:tRNA from 1 species